rnacentral:rRNA from 1 species
UACGUAGGGUGCGAGCGUUGUCCGGAAUUAUUGGGCGUAAAGAGCUCGUAGGCGGUUCGGUAAGUCGGGUGUGAAACCUCCAGGCUCAACCUGGAGACGCCACCCGAUACUGCUGUGACUAGAGUCCGGUAGGGGAGCGUGGAAUUCCUGGUGUAGCGGUGAAAUGCGCAGAUAUCAGGAGGAACACCAGCGGCGAAGGCGGCGCUCUGGGCCGGAACUGACGCUGAGGAGCGAAAGCGUGGGGAGCAAACAGG